rnacentral:tRNA from 1 species
ACCUUCGUGGUGUAGUGGUGAGCACGCUCGUCAUGUAUUCGAGAGAUCCGUGGUUCGACUCCCGGCGAGAGCA